UACGUAGGGUCCGAGCGUUGUCCGGAAUUAUUGGGCGUAAAGAGCUCGUAGGCGGUUUGUCGCGUCUGCUGUGAAAUCCCGAGGCUCAACCUCGGGCCUGCAGUGGGUACGGGCAGACUGGAGUGCGGUAGGGGAGAAUGGAAUUCCUGGUGUAACGGUGGAAUGCGCAGAUAUCAGGAGGAACACCGAUGGCGAAGGCAGUUCUCUGGGACGGUACUGACGCUGAGACGCGAAAGCGUGGGGAGCGAACAGG
rnacentral:rRNA from 1 species